GGAGUUGUGCCUGAAUUAAAGGACCACUUUGAUAGAGUGAACAAUGAGGGUUAAAACCCCUCCAGCUCCU
rnacentral:tRNA from 1 species